UUUGACAAAGAAAUAGCAUAUUCAAAUGAAGAAAUAAAUAGGCGCACAAACUGAAAUUGACCCAGGAAAAAUGGCUAACGAAGCAAGCGGAGUGGCAACGCAUGACAUGAGCCAUCUAAAAAAAGAAUGUCCGUUUCUAAAAUACUCAUGUUUUCAACCUUUUGUUUGCUUAUAAAUUGAUCACAAACACCACAUAUAGUUGUUUAAACAAAUACACAAUGUUAUUGACAUACCUCGUUGUAUUCGUUCUUCUCUUCAGUGGUUUCACAGCCAACAAAGAGGCAGAUUCUCUGAUUCAAAAAAAUUGCAAGAGUUUGUCAGAUAUUCCAAGCCCGAUGGAUUCAGAAGAAUUCCUUAAGAUUUGCAUCAGAUCUCUUAAAGAGAAUCCAGAGACCAAGAAAGUGAGAAAUAAGAUUGACUUGAUCGUGGUAGCUACGAAUAACGCGAUAUCGAACAUAACAAACAUGAAAAGAAUUGUGGAGAAGUUCAUAAAAGAGAAGAGAUACAAAAGUAGGCUUAUUAAAAAGAAGUUGGAAGUUUGUCUUAACCAUUACCAAGAUGGCUAUGAGUGGCUAACCUCAGGUUUGAAUUACCUCAAAGAGCAGAAUCGUGAUAUGGCUUCCCCUGAUUUGGGGAUGGCUAACAGGGAAGUGGUUGAUUGUGGGGAGAGAUUCAAAAAAGGCGAAAUAAAUCCCUUUAAAAAAGAGAAUGAUGAAGUCCUCUACGUAAUGAC
rnacentral:lncRNA from 1 species